AGAGCGUUUCUGACAUGCAAGCGUUUUUAGAUGAAUGAGGAAGCAGAGAGGAUGAAGGGCUGCUUCUGAGGACACCUGCUCGGCUGUGACACACGGCCACACCCGACGGACAGCAUUCCUUCCGAGUGAAAAAGGCCGUUCCUGCCUGGGACCCGUCAGACGAGACAGACCGUUCCUGCUGCUUCCACCUCACAGCCUGAAACCGCCAGCUGCCGCAGAACCUUCACGGACCCUCACUGACCAGACAUGACCAGCUGAGAAGAAGACCUCUGGAGAGCAGGAUCAGAAGUUUGUUCUUCAUUUACUGUUGGAUUAUCUGAAACACCAUGGCGCAGGAGGAGGGCCUGGAUUUCAAAGCCCUGAGGGAAAAGUUCCAGCAAGAAGAUCCCCUGAAGCUCCGAAACAAGCCCACCAUCCCGGAGAAGCCCAAACUCCUCCACUCUCCCACGAGCGGGACUCAGUCACCCCUCAUCUCCAGUAUCAAUGCUGCUGUGGAGAACCGGAUGUCUGUUGUGCCCCGCGUGGUCUUCAGGGAUGAGAAGAGGUUGUCCAUUGUGCGGCCAGCAUCCCUGAUGGUUCCCCAGAAGGCCAAAGAUGGAGACUUGCCCGUGAAGCCAGCGCUGCUGGAUGAGAAUCAGAGGAAGGAGGCUGACCUUGUCAAACAGGCCUUCAAAGACAAGAAACUUAAUUUGGUGCUUCCUGUUACAGCGGCCGAAUCCAACUCCACACCUCCAUCUUCGGGCAAAUCUGUGACUCCCAAGAAGAAGGGAAUUUUCUCCUUUAAGAAGACGCCAAAGCCUGAGAAGGAAAAAUCGGAAACAUUCGUGAUGGAUCCCGUUUCGCCAAUAGUGAACGUCCCAACUCCAACGUUCACUUCAUUUACUUUACCUGCAGUCCAAAAGCCUCUCCUGCCCCCAGUCCCCACGUCUACAUCCAGUAUUCCCAUUCCAGACAUUCCCUCUGAGACUCCUGACCAAACGCCUUCUCUGUCUGAAGAAGCAGAAAUGUUCAUUUCUCUUUCAGAGAUCCCCCCCCCAGACACUCCCCUGGCCGAGAUCCUAGUUGGAAACACUCCAGUUCCACUGGAUAUUCCGCCUCCAGUAAUCCCGGUUUCAUCUCCUCCUCCAGUGGAGGUUCUACAUCCUGCUCUCCCAGGAUCAGAUCCAGCAGUUCCAGAUCCAGAACAAAGAGAACCUGAACUGGUCAGAGUGGCCGCAUUGCCCGUCCCAACAGUUUCAGCCAGUCCGGUUCUUCCCAGAUCCGCUACACCAGCAGAACCAGUUCCUCCUGCAGGGGGACCUCCAGCAGAGGUGGUGAGGCCCGCCCCCGCCCCAGUGCAAGAUAAUGGUCCACCAGCAGGCGAUGUGGAACCCACGACUCCACCCAAACGUCCCCUGUCUGCCCUGUCAGCUCUGGAACGAGCGGAGGAGAAGUCCCCUGGAAAACGGGCCUCUGACCAGAGAGUCUUUAAUUUGUUGGAGAAGAUGAAGAGGAAGAGCAACCAAACAUCCAAGUCCCCCUCACCUGUUCCACCCUCCGAAACAGACUCUACCCCACCCAUCAGCCCCAGUUUUCCUCCGGUCGAUUAUGAGCACUCCAUGGCCGCGGCACACGUUGAGCUGGAGACGAGACCGCAUCACAACGGUUCCGUGUCACCUGUUCAGGAGGAGACCCCUGUCCCGCAGCCCAAAAAACCUGUCAGAGCAACGCGGUCCACAGAACGCACCUCUCUGGACCAAACUGUGGACCCGAGUCAGACCAUCAGCAAGCCAGCAGGGCCUGAGGGGGACACAGUGAUUCCAGUGGAUCAAGUGAUUCCUGCUCCAGUGGAUUUCUGCUCAGAGGAUCCCGUUCUGCACGUCCCUGACCUUUUACCUCAAAUCCAUGAAAGCAAAGUUCUCCCUGCAGCUGAAGGUCUGGAGGUGGAACCUGCAAUGCACAAACUCCUGAAGUCCCCUACUGAGGAUGAGGUGGUGCUGGAUGCGCCUGUUCCUGCUGCGGAUGGGAUUGAUGCUCCUCAGGUUCAGGUUGAAGGUCAGGUGCCUGAGGUCACCGCGGAAGGGUCAUCAACAACGCUUCCUGAUGCCACAGAUUGUCCUGUCAAUCAAAAUGGCCUGAAUCCAUCAGGGUCGGUGAAUCUCGGCUCUGAUGACGCGGAGAAGAAAAAAAAUAGCAAGAAACGCGAGAAAGACAAGAAGAGAACCCCAAAGAACCCCUAUGCUGAACCUCAGGCUGCAAUGGAUCAGACGUUAAAAUCUGGGCGCUUCAAAUCAAAGUAA
rnacentral:lncRNA from 1 species